rnacentral:rRNA from 1 species
UACGUAGGGCGCAAGCGUUGUCCGGAAUCAUUGGGCGUAAAGAGCUCGUAGGCGGCCUGUUGCGUCCGCUGUGAAAUCCCGGGGCUUAACCCCGGGCGUGCAGUGGAUACGGGCUGGCUGGAGGCAGGCAGGGGAGAACGGAAUUCCCGGUGUAGCGGUGAAAUGCGCAGAUAUCGGGAGGAACACCGGUGGCGAAGGCGGUUCUCUGGGCCUGUACUGACGCUGAGGCGCGAGAGCGUGGGGAGCAAACCGG